AUUGAAAAGCUUUUAAAGAAGCUUACUCAAAACAAGUUUAGUUUGCCAGAAAAUCAAAAAAGACAGUUUCAAUUGACAAAAGUAGGGAACGGGGAAAUUAACAGCUUGAAAAGUAGGAAUAGGGCAUGGAUCAUUUGCCUAAAGGGUUGGCCAAUAGCAUCACGAUAUUAGGUAAUGUAUAACAAGAGAAAGCUAGAAAGUAAAACACUGACUAGCUAAUUAGUGAAAGAAAGAGUUUCUCACAAAUAAUUUAGAGAUGAACUGCUAGUUUUCAAAUGAAAGAGCCUAAUAUAUAAAGUUUUGCCCUUAAACUAAUUGGAGAAUGUCUGUUACACCCUAAACUUCUAUUUUUUGUUCCUUGAUUAUGAAUUUCCUGUCCAGAUUCUUCCUUAUCCACACUAAAAUUCAUAUUUGCCACUUUCCCAAUUUCAGAAGAACAAAAUCUUCUUAUCUUGAACUGUACAAAAAAUAAGAACAAGCUAUCCAAGAACAAGAGUUCAAAAAUACUCUAUAAAGAUUUCUAACAUUAAAACCAAACAGCACAAAACCUAUCAAAUCUUUUUUCCCCUCUCGUAGAACCAAGAAAAACUCUAAUCAAGUUGUUCUACUUGGAUUAAAUAUUUUUCAUAUUUUCUGUCUGAUCAUUCAAUGUAAAGUUGUAAACAUUACUCAAAACAAAAGCCAAAUCAAGCUAUGAAUUCUAUUAAUUGGCU
rnacentral:misc_RNA from 1 species